rnacentral:lncRNA from 1 species
AUGGAUGCAUGUUAGGUUAUUAGCUUGACUACCUGUAACCCAUGUUCGAGUCCUCCAAAUCAUUAGUUAAGGGGGUCUAUUCGAUACAAAAACUUUCAUAUCAUUUUUAGACACCCUCAAGAUCAGUUCCAUUAGAAAAACGAUGGUGAUUUGGUGAUAAAAAAUACUCCAACUCAGUUCCCCCUCGAACUAACUCUGAACUGUCUAUUUGAGUGAUGAAGUUCUAGGGUUUUAAGAGAACAAAAGCUUAUUUUUUAUUUCUUUGAAUUGUUCACCAGGUGAAGCGGAGAUGAUCUGAAAAUUUCCAAAGAUCGGAAACAUCCCUCUUAGUGUUUUUUUUUGAUGAAAUCCCUCUAACUUAGUGUUAUCCCAACACUCCAAUCUUUUCUCUAAUGUUGCAUGUUGACACGUGUUGACACUUCUAGACAUAGUAUCAAUAUAUUUUAUUUGAAACUUGUACCUGAGUUUAAACUUAAGACCUCUUGGUGCAGAGUGGUACAGUCUACCACUGUGGCAGCAACGAACCUCUAUGAAACAUGCAAAUUUUAUGAUAUCAAGGGUUCAUAGAGCUUGAAAGCAUUUUUUGUUUUUUGAAUUGUUUCACAAGGUGAAUAAGAGAUGAUCUAAGAGUUUCAUAUCGAAAACAUCCUCCUAAUUCAGUUGCAUGUAACACUCCAUCUUUUCUCUAUUGCUGCAUGUUGAAAUGUGUUAAGACACUUCCAGACAUGGAUUUCAAGAAAUGUUAUAUGAAACUUCAUGCAUGAGUUGAAACUUAGGACCUCCAUCGAGGAGCGGUAUGGUCUACCAUUCCACCAGCAACACAACAUCUGUGUGAAACAUGACUUCACUUAUGACAUCUUGAGGAGGCGCAGACCUACUAGCUUGAACUAGGUUUUUUUGCAAAGACGAUAGGGAAGAUCCAAAAUUAGAGAAAUAUGCAAAAACCAAAGAUAUAAAGAGCACUUGUUGCUCUAGGGUUUUGAAUAAAAGUCCAUACUCCAUAACAUUAUCCAUCAUUGUUCUUGAGUACAUCCUUUUAUAAGAAAACCCUAAACAAGAAUUAAUCCUAUCCAUCCAUCUACUCUAAUCAUGACCAUUUAUUAUAGAAGAGUGAAUAGAAAGAUAUAAAAAACUCUAGAAAUUACUACUUAUGCCUCCCCCCCCCCCCAAAAAAAAAAGACUCAAGAAAUAAAUAAAAGACAUAAAAGGAUAGAUUCAAUGACGAAUUUUCCCGUUUGUAGUUGCUCUUGUAAACUUUAAGCUUCUCUCUCUCUUGUCUAGAUACUCAAGAGUAGUAUUCUGGCUUGCAUCAGUCCAUCCUUCCUCAAAAGAAUUUUCCCUCGAAUUCGACAGCUCGUCGUCUGAGGUAUCACCAAGAUAUGGAAUGAGAUGCUUGACAUUAGAAACAUCAGAAGUGUGAAUAUUGGUUGAUAGCUUUAACUGAUAGGCAUUGUCAUUGAUCUUCUUCAAAAUUUUGAAUGGUCCUACCUUGACAAGACUUCAGAUCAAGACGUGCCGUUUUAUUGCAUUCCCCAUAGACAUUUGAGUAACCAUACUUUGGGUCCAUUGAGAAUUGCCAUACUUGUAGUACAUAAGCACAACACACUCGGUCCUGAACACUUCGUAGAAUAUUCUACGACGAAUUUUAAUGCGGCUCAAGAUUAAUGAUGCAUUAUCCCCGUGAUUUCCUUCAAUGUGCACAGUCAUUAGGUUUUCCACUCAAAACAAAAUAAUGGUUGAAGCAGAACUCCAACAUUAGGAAUCACAUAAGCUACCAUUUGAUAGCUACCUUCUAUUUCGAACUCACUAGCAAAAUACUCAAAGGAAAAUAUCACCAAACCCUUGGAGCACACAUCACAUGAUACUCCAUAUUCAGGUAAAACAUCAAGUAAAACAACAUCUUUUUCCACCUUGAUCUCCUUUAUCCUCCUUUUCUUCGCCUUGUUGUUCUCCAUAGAGAUAGUCACCCAUCAAAUCAUCAUAAAAAAUGGGACCCUCAUCAAAGUUAGGAUCACUAUCAAAGAUCAUUAUCUCCAUCAAAAGGUUCCUUGCUAAAGAUUAGAUAACCAUUAAGACUAUGAUCACCCACUUCUUUCUCAACACCUAAAUUUUCAUCUAGAUAGUUGUUCAAGGACUGAAGGUAAGUCUCAAUCCAUAACAUGCUGAUUUUGAGAACCAUUUGAUAAGAACGAAGUUUCUUCAUGGUUGUCCUCGGAUAGACUUUCGUAACACUUUGGGAUCUCAACCUUGAGACUGGUUUACCAUCUUCUACUAUCCCUAUCUGUACUAUCAACUACUUGGCUUCUGGUUGUCCUCGGAUAAACUUUCAUAACACUUUGGAAUCUCAACCUUGAGACUGGUUUACCAUCUUCUACUAUCCCUAUCUGUACUAUCAACUACCUCUCUCCUUGGAGCUUGAUUAUGGAAGAGAUUUAUGGAUUCCUCAUCUGCCUCGAUCUUAUCCUUUGAGAUGGGGCUUCCAUAUCUGCCAAACAUAGAGCUAGGGUUUCGACCAAUUUUCUCAGAUCUGCAAUCCCUUCUUGGGAACUAGCAUCAAAGGCUUCUAUGGUGCUCUUUUCCUCCUUUUCCUCUUCAUGGAGGCAUUGUUGUUGAUUAGGGCAAAAAAAUCGAUGCUACAAUACCUUACUAUAAUAACUUGCUACAAGUACCGUACAGUGCCAUGCUACAGUGUCAUCCUUACGGAUCGUCAUGCUCUGAUACCAACCUGGCGUAGAUCUAGUACCUUGAGCUAGGGUUUUUUGCAAAGAAGAAGAUACGGAAGAUUCAAAAUAGAGACAUAUGCAAAACCAAAGAUAAAAGAAGAAGCACUUGUUGCUCAAGGGUUUUGAAUAAAAGUCCAUAAUAUUAUCCAUCAUUGUGUACAUCCUUUUAUAAGAAAACCCUAAACAAGAAUUAAUCAUGGCCAUCCAUCUACACUAAUCAUGGGCAUUUAUUAUCAAAGACUUAAAGUGAAUAGAAAGACAUAAAAAGCUCUAGAAUUACUAAUUAUGCCUCAAAGUAAAUAAAAAUGACUCCAGAAAUAAAUAAAAGACAUAAAAGGAUAGAGUCAAUGACUAAUUUGCCCUUUUGUGGUUCCUCUUAUAAACGUUAAGAUUAUCUCAAUUAUCUAGAUACGCGAUAGCAAUAUUCUGGGCUGCAUCAUGAAGUGACAUAGUAAGCUCUACCACUCUACCAGCCAUGCACGAGUUUAUAAGACAAAACUUAUUAUAUACACCAAUGUUCAAAAACACGGACUUACAUUAGGAACAGACAGGGCCAAGUCUAGGUCAACUCACAGAGUAUUGAGCUGACCCGAUUCAGUCUUGCUUAGGUUGAAGAGAAUAGAGAAAAAAAUACUGAAAAAUAAGGAAAAGUGAAAGUAGGAAAAUCUAAGGAAAAGGACAAAUCAGAGAAAAAUUCAAAAAACUAACAGAAAAAUGAAAAUUUCCGAAAUUACAUGUUGAAUAGGGUUGCUUUUGUUGGGGUUUUGUGGCCUUUAAAACCCGUGAAAGCAUGUAAUAAAAAAUUAUGGUGGAUUAUGCACUUCAGUUGGCGUAUGUGUGGUGGUUGACUAACUUGGGGUAGGUGGUUUAUGACUCUGGUUAUAUCUAAAACCCUUAUCUUGGGAAUAUGGCACUACUUAUGAGAACCUUAUGUCUAAAACCCUUAUCCUGGGAAUAUGGUUAGGUGGUUUUUUGGCUAGGUGAACCUUAUGGUCUCCUAAGUGCCGUUGUAGGCCUGUGAGAGCAUGGGCUAAAUCCUCAGUAAACUUCCACACAACAUGUAUGCAUGAGAACUAUAUUCCAGGAAGAAACCUUAUAAAGGGAUAUGUAUACAUGUGCAUAGAGAGAGUCCUCUUUGCACUGUGGUGAUAUGUGCGUGUCACUUACUCUUAGGGAGGCGGGGGGACCUGUAAUCCACAUACCAGGACCAUGAUUCUACUAUUUAUUGGUUAGUUUUGACAGACUAAUCAUGAGCCUCUGCAUGAGACUGUGGAUUAUGGGUCUAGUUGGGUUGGUUUGAGAAGUUAGUUGAUGAUCAUGGUUACUGUGUUGGGUGGAGUGUUCUGACAGCCACUUUUUCUUGACACAUUGGUAUCAUUCCACUUCUAGAAAUUUUGUUUUUAGCUUAAGAAAUGUUUGUGUGAUCUUUAGAAUUUUUUGGAAUUUUUAAAAUCUUUUUUCAACAAUAAAUUGAACCCUAAAAAGGGUAUUUUAUAAUUUUUAUUUUUGUUGGGGUUGAGUAGGACCCACAUGGAGGGGACAAGCGUUCAGCACCCACACGUUGGGGGCCCCACGUGGAGUAGGAUGUGGGUCCCAUUAGGGCCACAUUCCCCACAUGGUGAUCAUGUGUCGUUAUUUAAAUGUUGUGUUUUUUUUUUAAUAAAAGAGAUUUUGUUAGAGGAAUCUUAAGAAAAUCCUCGAGAAAGAUUUUUUGAGCAUAUUUUGUGGAAUUAUAGAUGUUUAUGUUUGAAAAAUAUUCUUUUGACUUUGAAUUUGACAAAAUCUUUAUGAGUUCGAAUUUGUAAUAAUCUUUUUGUGUGAGAAAAGGAAAUUCUAGUCAAAAUAGAAUAGAUGAGAUUUGAUUUGUUUUAUCCUAGGUUGACUAGAAAUGGAUGUGGGUCAAUGAAUCAGGGGAUAAGGUUCCUAGAUUCCUCCCUAAAUUAUGAUGACUGAUUUUUGGGAUGAAUGGUUCAUAUUUAUUUUUUUCUCAACCUCACAGUAUACUUAGGAGUCCUAUGGCCAAGUGGAAUUCUAUUUUAGAUAGGCAUAUUUGGACCCUUGAAGCUAUAAAUAGAGGGUAGCCCUCCUUAUUCUAACCACUUGAUCUCUCACCCUCUCGCUCUCUCCCCUCUAUCCUCUAUGUCUUUCUCUAUCUUUGUCUCUCUUCUCUCUAGUCUCUCUCUAAGUGGUGGCACCCAUUACUCAAGCACACUUGGGGUAGCAUGCUCAUCUAAAGGUAAGAAAGGAGGCACACCCAGCCCACUUUGUGAAAGGGUGGUGCCACUAAGGUGGCAUGCCUUAAGAGUCCCAAAUGGUUAUAGAACCUAGAUCUAGC